AUGGUGCUGGUCCUAGCGCUGGGGGAUCUGCACAUCCCGCACCGUGCGCCCGACCUGCCCGCCAAGUUCAAGUCCAUGCUCGUCCCGGGCAAGAUCCAGCACAUCAUCUGCACCGGGAACCUCUGCAUCAAGGAAGUUCACGACUACCUUAAAAGCCUCUGUCCUGAUCUCCACAUUACCAGAGGUGAAUAUGAUGAGGAUGCUCGCUACCCAGAGACAAAAACAGUUACUAUUGGUCAGUUCAAGCUAGGGCUAUGCCAUGGCCAUCAGAGAAAGCUCGUCUGCUCAUGCAUUGAAUGUAUAAAGGUUGUUCCAUGGGGCGACCUGGACUCCCUAGCGAUGCUCCAGAGGCAGCUGGAUGUGGACAUCCUCGUCACCGGGCACACCCAUCAGUUCAAGGCCUACAAGCACGAGGGGGGUGUCGUCAUCAACCCUGGCUCAGGCACGGGCGCCCACAGCAGCAUCACAUAUGACGUCAACCCGAGCUUUGUGCUCAUGGACAUCGAUGGCCUCCGUGUUGUUGUCUACGUGUACGAGCUCAUUGACGGCGAGGUGAAGGUUGACAAGAUCGACUUCAAGAAGACCGCCACGAUGCAUGGCUAA
rnacentral:rRNA from 1 species